AGGGUCUGUCCUUAGUACGAGAGGACCGGGACGGACGUACCUCUGGUGCACCAGUUGUUCCGCCAGGAGCACAGCUGGGUAGCCAUGUACGGUUUAGAUAAACGCUGAAAGCAUCUAAGCGUGAAACUAGCCUCAAGAUAAGAUAUCCCAUCCCUUCAAGGGAGUAAGGUCACUUGCAGACUACAAGUUUGAUAGGUCGGAGGUGUAAGCACAGUAAUGUGUUCAGCUGACCGAUACUAAUAGACCGAGGGCUUGAACUU
rnacentral:rRNA from 1 species